GACGUAGGGCGCGAGCGUUGUCCGGAUUUAUUGGGCGUAAAGAGCUCGUAGGCGGUCUGUCGCGUCUGCUGUGAAAACUCAGGGCUUAACCCUGAGCUUGCAGUGGGUACGGGCAGACUAGAGUGCGGUAGGGGAGACUGGAAUUCCUGGUGUAGCGGUGAAAUGCGCAGAUAUCGGGAAGAACACCCGUGGCGAAGGCGGUUCUCUGGGACGGUACUGACGCUGAGACGCGAAAGCGUGGGGAGCGAACAGG
rnacentral:rRNA from 1 species